UACGUAGGGGGCGAGCGUUGUUCGGAAUUACUGGGCGUAAAGGGUGCGUAGGCGGCGCGGUAAGUCGGGUGUGAAAUCUCGGGGCUUAACUCCGAAACUGCAUUCGAUACUGCCGUGCUUGAGGACUGGAGAGGAGACUGGAAUUUACGGUGUAGCGGUGAAAUGCGUAGAUAUCGUAAGGAAGACCAGUGGCGAAGGCGGGUCUCUGGACAGUUCCUGACGCUGAGGCACGAAGGCCAGGGGAGCAAACGGG
rnacentral:rRNA from 1 species